rnacentral:rRNA from 1 species
GGAAUAUUGGGCAAUGGAUGCAAGUCUGACCCAGCCAUGCCGCGUGCCGGAAGAAGGCCCUCAGGGUUGUAAACGGCUUUUAUUCGGGAAGAAGAUCAGGGAUGCGUCCUUGUGUGGCGGUACCGAAUGAAUAAGCACCGGCUAACUCCGUGCAAGCAGCCGCGGUAAUACGGAGGGUGCGAGCGUUGCCCGGAUUUAUUGGGUUUAAAGGGUGCGUAGGUGGCUUUUUAAGUCAGUGGUGAAAUACAGCCGCUUAACGGUUGAGGUGCCAUUGAUACUGAGAAGCUUGAAAUAAUUGGAGGCUGCCGGAAUGGAUGGUGUAGCGGUGAAAUGCAUAGAUAUCAUCCAGAACACCGAUUGCGAAGGCAGGUGGCUACGAUUUAUUUGACACUGAGGCACGAAAGCAUGGGGAGCAAAC